UACGGAGGAUCCAAGCGUUAUCCGGAAUCAUUGGGUUUAAAGGGUCCGUAGGCGGUCUUAUAAGUCAGUGGUGAAAUCUCCCCGCUCAACGGGGAAACGGCCAUUGAUACUGUAGGACUUGAAUUAUUAGGAAGUAACUAGAAUAUGUAGUGUAGCGGUGAAAUGCUUAGAGAUUACAUGGAAUACCAAUUGCGAAGGCAGGUUACUACUAAUGGAUUGACGCUGAUGGACGAAAGCGUGGGUAGCGAACAGGAUUAGAUACCCUGGUAGUCCACGCCGUAAACGAUGGAUACUAGCUGUUGGACGCAAGUUCAGUGGCUAAGCGAAAGUGAUAAGUAUCCCACCUGGGGAGUACGUUCGCAAGAAUG
rnacentral:rRNA from 1 species